AGUGAACGCUGGCGGUAGGCCUAACACAUGCAAGUCGAACGGCAGCACAGUAAGAGCUUGCUCUUACGGGUGGCGAGUGGCGGACGGGUGAGGAAUACAUCGGAAUCUACUUUUUCGCGGGGGAUAACGUAGGGAAACUUACGCUAAUACCGCAUACGACCUACGGGUGAAAGCAGGGGAUCUUCGGACCUUGCGCGAUUGAAUGAGCCGAUGUCGGAUUAGCUAGUUGGCGGGGUAAAGGCCCACCAAGGCGACGAUCCGUAGCUGGUCUGAGAGGAUGAUCAGCCACCCUGGAACUGAGACACGGUCCAGACUCCUACGGGAGGCAGCAGUGGGGAAUAUUGGACAAUGGGCGCAAGCCUGAUCCAGCCAUACCGCGUGGGUGAAGAAGGCCUUCGGGUUGUAAAGCCCUUUUGUUGGGAAAGAAAAGCAGCAGGUUAAUACCCCGCUGUUCUGACGGUACCCAAAGAAUAAGCACCGGCUAACUUCGUG
rnacentral:rRNA from 1 species